GCUGCUGUAGCCCAGUUGGUAGAAGCGUCGCUAGUACAGGUAGCGAAGGUCGCUGGUUCAUGUCCAGCCUGCGCA